CAGGCAGCACUGCCCCAUCCCUUGGCCAAGCAACGGGAGCCUCAAGCAGCGACCUGACCCCGGCCGAAGACAAGUCAGGCUCUGUAGCAAUUCCAGCUCCCGUCACCCCUGUAGAUGGAAGUGCAGGGACCACAGUGUCCUUGAGCUCAAGCUCCACAACUCCUGGGCUCACAGAAGAGACAACUCUAGAGUCUCCAGUUGUCUCCACAGCAGCAGACAAAGGAAAUGGCCCAGUAUCCCAAGAAGAAUCAGGCUCAACCUGGUCAUCAUCUGGAGAAAUCUCAGGGGCAGCAGGGGACAGAAACCCUGGGGCAGCAAGCACAGUAGCCACAGGAAACAUUAGAGUGUCGGUGGGGUCGGCCACUGCAAACCCAGGAGCAUCAGCCAGGCCAGCCACAGCCACUGCUAGUGGCAGAC